GGCUGGCAAGCCUGCCUGCCUGCCUGCAGGAAGCCCUGGGUUACAGCCCAUUUGGGGCUGAGGGGGCAGGGUUUCAGGGAAGGAGAUCUGCAAGCACUGCAGAUCUGAGUUUCACUGGCCCAAAGAGACCCUGGAAAGCACAUUUCAGCUCCUGAUGACUGUCAAUCAGCCCAACAAAAACUCUUUCCCAGAGCCUUAAGCUUUGAGAAGAGCUGCCUUUCUGCUGACCCUCUGAGGCAAGUGUUAGUAGGAUAAGCAAUCCCAUUUUGCAGAGGGAGAGACUGAGGCCCAGAGAGUAGCCUCCCUGGGUCAUCCUCACUCAUCUAGUAAGUGGCAGAGCCAGGACUUGAAACUUCAGCAGGUUUGAGUCAUGAUAGGGUAGUGUCUCCCUUCUGCCAUCCCAGGGACCCUCGUCCCAUGGCCUAGGUACUGUGGGACUCUGGAGAAGUAGAGUCAGGAUAAUUUGAGAACUCCCUCCUUCUCUGGAGCUUCUCUCUUAAUGAUCUUCUCCAGCAGGCAGGGUUAAGGGCUAUUAUUCUCACUUUGCAGAGGAGACGGGCCCAAAGAGGGCUCCCUAAAAUCUCAGGAUUUCCGAGCUAGAAGAAAUCUCAGAAGGCGCGCAAUCCAACUCACACCCAAGCAAGAAUCCAUUCCCCACUUUGCCUGACCAAGGGACCUCUCCCAGACACCACCUGACGGGGGAACUCCUCAUCCUUGGGGCAGCCCAUACCACUCUGGUCAGCUCUCAUCGUUGGGAAGUUUGUCCUGACACUGAGGCUCCCCCACCCCACUGGUCCUGGUUCUACCCUCUACUAAUCCUUCUUCCACAUGGCCACCCUUCAAAUGCCUGAGCCAGUUAGUUUGGUCUCCAAGACUUCUCUUCUAAUCACCUUCAACUCCUUCAACGGGGUCCUCCUAAAAGACACAUUCAAAGUCCUUCACAAAUUCUGGGACCCUCCAACUGGAUUAUCAAUGACCAGAGAAAUGUCACUUAUGGGGGGCAGCUGGGUAGUUCAGUGGAUUGAGAACCAGGCCUAGAGACAGGAGGUCCUAGGUUCAAAUCUGGCUUCAGACACUUCCCAGCUGUGUGACCCUGAGCAAGUCACUUGACCCCCAUUGCCUAGCCCUUACCAUUCUUCUGCCUCAGAACCAAUACACAGUAUUAAUUCUGCGAUGGAAGGUGAGGGCUUAAAAAAAAUCAGUUAUCAUCAUCAUCAUCAUCCAAAUGCCAAACACUAUUGGGUUGAAGAGAUUUCCAUCUGCUGCAUCUUGUAUCCCUAGACCUUAUACAGUAGGCACUCAAGAAAUGCAUGUUAAAUUGAACUGCAUGCAACUGAGCAAAACUGACCCGGACAGACUAGUCCCUCCUCGUCGCUCUGCCUUUUUAAAUGGAGUCCAGGAUCUUAUUAGCUUUUUUGGCUUCCCCAUCACUCUGCUGACUCACACUCAACCAACAGGCCACUGUUUAUAGAUGAGCUGCUGGCUAACCAAAGCUCCCAUCUUGUACUUGUGAAGUUGUUUUUUUGAACCCCGACGCAAGGUUUAAAAUGUCUUUCUUAUUAGAUUCAGCCCAAGUGUCCUAGCGUGUGGAGAUCCUCUUGGAGUCUGUCAUCCAUCUACCUCUCCCUCCCAGCUCUGAGUCAUCUGAAAAUGAAUAAGCCUGGCCUCUCUGCCUCUUUCCAUGUCAUUGAUAAAAAUGGGACACCGUCCAGGGCCAGGCACAGCUCCCCUGGGCCACUCUCACUAUUAAUGGCUACUCUUAGGGUCUAAUCAUUGGACCCUUUCUGAACCCACCUCGCUCUCCUGGCAUCUAGUCCACAUCUCUCCUUUUUUUUUCCCACAAGAAGAGCAGGAGAAACUGUGUCGAGGCCCAUGUGAAAAGCAAGAUAAAUAAUAACGGCAGGGUUUCCCCUGACCUAUCAGUCUAGAAUCUGUCGAAAUGGGAAAUGAGGUUAGCUUGGCAUGACUGGUUCGUGGUGAAACAAUGUUGGCUCCUUGUGAUCGUUGCUUCCUUUUCCAGAUGUUCACUAACCAUCCCUUGAAAAAUGUAUUCUAGAAUUUUGCCAAGAAUAGAAAUCAAACUCAUUGGCCCACUACACUUUGUAGACUCUUUUUUCCCUUUUGUUGAAAAGUGAUGGGGCAGAAGGGAAUUGCCUUUCUGCAACCCAAGUUUCCAUUCUCCACGCCUCCAAAGAUCCUGGACAGUGGCUCCGUGAUCCUAUCGACCAGUUCUUUCCAAAUGCAAGGAAGUCCUUCCCCUGGGCUAGGUGGCUUGAACUCUCUUAACAUCCUUACUUAGGCACAGUAUGCGCCAUGAUCAUUUCUUAACUAUAUCUAUCACAUAGCAGCUAGCUUGCAUUUUUAUAGUGCUUUGAACUUGCAAAAAAACUUUACAAAUAUGAUCUCCGUUUACCUCUGAGAGUUAAGUGCUAUCCAUUGUUUAGAUGAAAACUGAAGCAAAAAGAGGUGACUUGGUAACUGGCCCAUAUCACAUAGCUAAUGUGUCUGGGGCUGAAUUUGAACUCAGAUCUUCUGGAUGCCAGCUCCAGGGCUCUAGCUACUGGGCUACCUAGUUGCCUUAGAGCCCAGUGUCAGAGUUGGAACAGAGAGUACACCACUAAAGAACUAGGAGAGCCAUUAUCGCCCCUCUUCAUUUUUUUCGGAUGGAGAAACUGAGAUUUGGAGAGAUGGAAAUGAUUUGACAAAUUUCUCCUGGAUGGAGAAUGUUUAAUAAAGAAGUAGGACUUAAACUGGUCCUUGGGUAAAGGGAGAGAUUCCCUUUAGAGGGGAAGAUAGCUGGGAAUCAGCUCUCAGUAAUGGAAGGUGAGGGACAGGCAACAUAGCAAAGGUGAGUUCAUGGACUUUAUCCAACAUGGUGCUACUCAGACCCCUCCAAGGGAGAAUUCUGGGGUGCAACACGCAAGUCAGACGGGCAGGCUCUGUGGCAGAUGCAGACACCUCUCUAGAGAUACAGGUCUAGCAUGCCGAUACACGAUGAGGUCAGGGUGGCCUGACAUAAAGGAUAAUGGGACAAAGGUCAGCCCAGCAGUGCCCUGCCUACCUCUCGCAGGGGAAUCUGGAUCCUCACAGUGGGAAGGGACGUCAGCAGCCGCGGUGCCCCAAAGAAGAAUCUCCCUCUCUACAUCAUACCCCAGACACCUGCGUGUCCAGCCUCUGCUGGAAGGUCUCUAAGAAAGGCAAAUCCACGGCCUCCUCAUUCCAUUCUGGAGCAUCUCUCGAGGCUAGGAAGCCUUUCCUGAAGCUGCCUCCACUGUUUCUAGUUCUACCCCCAGGGUAUCAAUCCAGGUUUGUGCCUCUUCUGCCCUGCUUCUGCUCGCAGACAGCUCUCCUGGCCCCCCGAGCCUUCUCUUCUCCAGGCUAAGCAUCCAGGACCUCACUUGGCCACUAUCCUUUUGAGUGGUGUCUUCGGCCCAUCUUCAUCUGACACGAUCUAUAGGCUACUCACUCAUUGGGGCUUCCACCUCUUGACAAUUUGAUUCAAGGGAGCAAACAUUUAUAAAAUGCCUACUGGGUGCAAAACUGGGGCAACUUGUCGUGCAGUGGAUAGAGCUCCAAAGCUGAAGUUCAGAUCUGGCUUCAGUCAUGUCCUAGCUGUAUGACUCUGGGCCAGGCAGACCCUGUUGGCCUCAGUUUCCUCAUCUGUCAAAUGGCUAGAGAGGGACAUGACAAACGACUCCAGUAUCAGCUGUGUGAUCCAGGGCAAGUCACUUCACCCUGUUGGCCUCAGUUUCCUCAUCUGUCAAAUGGCUAGAGAGGGACAUGACAAACGACUCCAGUAUCAAAUGUGUGAUCCAGGGCAAGUCACUUCACCCUGUUGGCCUCAGUUUCCUCAUCUGUCAAAUGACUAGAGAGGGACAUGACAAACGACUCCAGGAUCUGUCAAGAAAACCCAAACGGAGUCACAAAGGGUUGAACACGACUGAAAACAGCGGAAUGACACAAAAGGCACAAAACUGUACCGGGAGCUCGGAGACGGAGGCCUGCCCUCUGGGGCUUUCCCUUCAAGGGGCUCAGAGAUCAGACUGAGUCCUAGAGAAGAAUUAGAAGAUGGAGAAACCCCUUCGGCUUGGGGGAAUUCGGGAAGGAGGCAGCAUCUCCUCUUAGAUGGAGUAUCUGAGCCACAUAAACGUGGGAGGGGGCUUCCAGCCAGAGCAGAUGAGGAGGGAAUGGAUUCCAGGCAUGGCGGUGAUGCCUACGUGUGGAGGCCAGAGAUGGGACAUCUUGAGGAGGAGUGGGCUGGGCUGGGCGUAUGUGCAGGAGAAGAACACGGAAUACGGGCAGAGAUGUAGGCUGGGGUCAGCACGGAGAGUCCCUCCUCUCAUGCAGAGCCUGGAACUCCGGCCAAGAGAAGGAAUUCCGCGCGGGGUUGGCGAAGCCAGAAUAAACCAGCCCUCUGAGUCAGAGCGGGACGGUGAACUCGGCUGUCACUUCGGGGCUGCCAAUGUCGAGUCGGCGGCUGUGCCGGCUCCCCACUCUCGGGCUCAUAAAACGGGCCCAGCUGCAAAUCAGCCCAUCAGGCCAGGCGCUGGGCCAAGCCGCGAUGUACAAGCGAGUUUAUUAGCCUGCUAGGGUCUCCCCCCUGCUGUCUUAUAGCACUGAGGCAUCCACCGAUGGAAUGAGGGUUUCAGCACGGGUCCAACCUCGAAGGACGGGAGGACGAGGAAACGGGUUAAACUCGUGGCUUCCUGCUGGCCGUGGCCGUUGGGUGAAAGCGCGAGGCUGGGGCCGCCUGCUGGAAGCGGGCGCCCAGGAACCCACCCCUCCCUGCAUUAGGAAAGGACCAGGCCACUGGAACCAGCUGGGUCCUGCCCUCAGUCCUAGCGUUCCCUGGUCAGGCCAGCCAGACUUUGUGAAGUCAGAGCCGAGAGCAGACGUGAAGAAUCCCAGAAAGUCCUGGCUGCUGGGCUCUGGUGCUGUGGCCCUUGUACGAGGCCCCAUAGGGGCAGGUGGAGUGGGAGAAAGCAUGAUGGGAAUGGUGGGUGGACAUGCUAGUGGGUCAGGGAUGGAGAGAAAAAAGCCCAACCUGUUGUUCAGAUACUUCCUAGCUGUGUGACCCUGGGCAAGUCACCUAACCCAACUGCCACUCUUCUGCCUUAGAACCAAAACUUAGUAUUGAUUCUUAGUCAAAAAAUAAGAGGGUUUUUGUUUGUUUUAAAGCCCGCCAUGUUGGGGGAUCCCUGGCAUUCCCUGCACUUUGGCUUCCCAAGCUAGGUUGGAAUGAAUGACUGAAUUCCUACUUGGCUCGGCUCAGCCCUGGGCAUCUCAGCUCCGCAGGCACAUUUACAAGAGGCCUCGGAAGUAUCGGAUCUAAGCCAGACCUUGGCAAACCCUUUGGCGUCACCCCUUCCCGACAAGCUGCCCUCUGGGCUAUGCCGGGAGCCCACGACGUCCCAAGGAAACCCUCUGGGCUUGAAGUGCCAGCCUAAGCUGCCCUCUCUCCAACCAACCCUAUCUGUCUGAGCCCAGCCCUUCUGGGGCCACGUAGGGCACGUCGGAUCCGUCGUCCAGGCGACAACCUUCGAGCCAUCGGCUCUCCCGUCCCCCGAGCCUCAUCUUCUCCAGGCUCCAAGUCCCCAGGAACGUCGUGAACCACAGGCCCUUCGCCACCCUGGCUAUCCUCCUCUGGGUGCUCUCAGCAUUUGUAAACGCCCUCCCUAAACUCGAGUGCCCACUGUGGACUCACGACGCAGUGCCUGGUACACAGUAGGUGCUUAAUAAAUGCUGAUUGAUUGUUCACUCCACUGGAAACCUGCUUGGACAUAGACCCUGAACCAUUCAUGUCUCCUCUGUAGGCUGGGCCACAUCUGAAGCCCCCUGCCUGGGUUAUCCCCCAGCCCACAUCUCUCCACUUUGUCCCUAAGGGCAUAAGAGACGGGCAAACGCUCCUUUCAAAACUGGGUCAACUCUGCCUGCCAGAGCACCUCUCCUGAGGCCCUCCAUGACUCUUCUCCGAAUUAUUUGUUAUCAAUAGAACGGAUUUAUCCCCCCCCUCCCCCCACUCCAACCGAGAAUAUAGCACGACUUGGUUUUCCAGAGGAAAUAUUGUGUACAUCUUUCCAUGCUUUGUGCAACGGAUGAAUCUUCUGAAAAGUAAAAAGAAAGUAGAAUUCCCCUGAAGCAAAGCAGAUUGGAAUGCCUAAAAGGAGUCGAAGUUUGCAGCCAUCCACUGGUAAGUCUUACUAUCAAGUAGGGAACUCUCGUGUUCUCUCAUGAGGCCACGUAUCAGAAGCCUGAAUUCGUGUCAGAAUUAAGUUUUUAAAUGUAUUCCGUAAAAUGCAAAGGAUUUCAAAGAAAACCGCUUACACUGGGAUAAUAAGGGAGGGUUUUCUUCACGUCCAGUCACAUUCACGGGCCUCCAAAAUUCUAUCCACAGUCCCAUCUGGAAUCUGGGGACCCUACGUGGUCCACCACGUCCCCAUCAUCUACCCAUUGAGUAACCAUCUCCCUUUACAGAUGAGAAAAGUAAAGUCCAGAGACAGAAAAACAGGGGAUCUGGCAUCAUGGAGAGGGCCCUGAGCUGAGAGCCAAGAGACACAAGGUCAGAUCUUGGCCUUUACCACUAUCUGCAGCCUUGAGCAAGUCACUGCUGGGUCUUAGUUUCCCAGUCUGUUAAAUGGGACAGCUGAGAUACUCAAUUGACUGUUUUUAUUUAUUUAUUUAUUUUUGGCUGCGUGACCUUAGGCAAAUCCCUUCCCUUCUCUGAGCUGUUUCCUCCUUUAUACAAUAAAGGGGUUGGAAUAGAGAUCCUCUCUUGAUGAGAUGACUCCUGGGUUCCAAUGGUCUCCCAGGGUCCCGCUGGCUCCAGGAGUCUGUAUUUCUCCAGCUGUAUAGUCUUUCCCAGGGUGCCUAGAACUUCCCCCAAGAUGGAGUGGCUGUAAAGCCAGGGCUCUGGAGGUGGUGUCCUCAGCAAGCAUCCCCUCCCCACUGUAGGAGCAUUUCCUGAAUACCGUCUUCCCCAGGGCCAGGUUCAUUCCAGAGAUACUAUGUUCGAAACACAUCACAUCACAGGCUUUCCAUCUGAGCCCAGAAAACGUCAUCUUGGCCUGCUUAGAAUAACCUCACACUUUCCCCUUCCCUCACUUAUCCUGUGUCUAGACAGCACCUUCCCCACUAUGAGAUAAUCUUUUUUUUCCUUAAUGAGAAGGUCAACCCACCCAGGUUCACAGCGAUUGAAAGUGGGCACAAUCGGAUGCUCAUGAAAAAUGGGGAAAGAGACGGAGAAUGGCCGCUGUCGAGCUGGCCCACGUCAACCCUGGACCCCAUGAAAGCAGCAUGCAGGGCUCGCUUCUGAAACUCAUUCGUGCACAUCCUGGAGACACAUCACUGCGGUGGGAGAAAAGGAAGCUGAGGGCCUGGAUUUGAAUCCCGUCUCUGCUAAAUGUGGUUUCAUAGAAAUCAGAACUGAAAGGAGUUUUUGCGACUACUUAGUCCAACCAAGUCAUGUAGUCAUGGAGAAGGAAUUCCAACCAACCAACAAAUUCCUACUACGCGCCAGUUCUGAGCAUGGCCCUGGAGGAACAAAGAAAGACAAAAGCAGGAUCUCUGCCCUGAAGGGAUUGACAUUCGAAUGAGGAAGACUUCAUUCUCCUGUGCAACCAGUAAGUGCUUUUGUCAAGACCCGAACUCAGAUCUCCAGAUUCCUGAUGGUGGUUUUCCUCUCAUUGUACCAUGCCUCUGGACAUGCACAAUGGGGCUCAGUGCAAGGCUCUGCUCUGACUUCAUCAGCCUUGGAUGUCGGACACCACAGCGGUCUCUGGAAACCCCCAGAUCCCAGCCUAAGCCAGGUCUCAUCAUCGCAGCCGGAGCCCUACUCAGAGAUGAGGGAAGUUUCCCUCAAAUUAACUGCCCUCAUAAAUUUAUCCAUCUGUUAUCAUAAGUGUGGCUUGGAAAUGCCUGGGCCAUAAAAUCGAAAUAAGCCAGGAGCGAACAUUUCUUACCCUUGGCUCCGGGUGUAUAUUCUUCAUGCCAACCUAUUAACUCUUUUUAACAGCCUGAUCUGGGCUGGCCUCGGACAGGGCGCCCAUAAAAGAUGUGACAAAUUCCCGGUGCCUUAUACCACGUAGCGGCCUGCUCCGGGGCCUGCCGGGGGCCGGCCAGCUUUCACUGGCAGCGUGAUGCAAGAUGAACCCUUUGGGGUCCUGGAGACUCAGACAGACCCCCGGGAAGCCGAAGGACUCCCUGGAGCUGGCCUGAGACCACAGCGCCGAGGGGCUGAGAAAGGCCAGACCCCAGCAACAACCAGACCCAUCUCCCCAGCUCAGGACGGGCCGUCAGCCAACCACGGAGUGGUUCCAAAGGUCCUGUUGGGUUUUCAAUUUCCACCAAGACUUUGCUUUCCCCAAGUUAUCCUCGAGGGUUUUUCUGGAACCAUGAAGGUUGUUGGAUCCUCAUCAUAACCCUAAGAAGGUUUGAGAGCUGGAGAGGGCUUGUUUUACAGAUGGGGCAAGCGAGGCCCCCCAAAAUGAAAUGAUUUCCUCUCUAGAUGGGCCGUCUCCUUCAAUUAGGAUUCCCCACAGUGAUGACCAUCACAAGUUUCCAUCU